CAAAUCUGUGCCCUGCAGUGUUCAAGGCUCUGGGUGUAGCAGUGAGUGAAGUAGCCCCUGCCCUGAAGGAGCAGGCAUCCAAGUGGUGAAGAGGAAGGCAGAUGAUGGUUCCAUAAACCAGGCAGGAGAGCCAUGGAGAGAAGAGAACAAAGAGGGCAGCGCUACAGACACGGACUUGGAAAGACUGACGUUGACAGAUCUGACAGAGGCCAUGGGCUCCACGGUUUGCCAGCGUGUGCCUGAAGGUAAUGGUUAGGGAAGAGCCCUAGACGUCUCUGGGGCGUGGGGAGCAAUCCGAGACGAAGCCCCACUAUGCGCAUGAGCUGUCCACUCCCUGCUUGGCUCCCAUCCUCCUACACCCUUUUUACAUCUCAUCAUCUUCAACAGAACCCAGCCCCUCCCCAUGCUCUGCCUGGAGCCAAGCUAACGACUGCUGCUCACGGGACAGUGUCUAGACCUAUUGUUUCAUCGCACUGACACGGAGAGUAUCUGUUGCUCAGGUUAUCAAAAUGACCUUCCCUCUUGGCCUCCUCUGUUUGCAGAGACUGUGGCGCUAGUGGGAACAAGGUGGCCAGGGCUGAGUGGAGGUUUGAGAGGCAAGCCAGGGUCGCCACCUGCUGGUUGGAUGUGGCAAUGGCUGCCAGCAACAAGAGCUGGCUGUACACUGAUUGUCUGGGUUUGUUAGGGGUCCUCCUGGUACCAGUGGAAGGGGGUAAAUGGUUUUUAUCUGUAUAUUUCCUCCACUUCUAGCAAGUAGCCUCCCAUUUCUCUACAGUCAUCCCUCUGACUCCCUAAGGGAGAGACUAUUUUUGCUGGUUCUGGAACUUCAAACAUGGAGAAUCUCGUGUUGUAUGUCUUUCAUAUCCAGUAUGGUGUUUCUGCUCACAGUUUCUGUCUCUACCUUUUAGUGGAGUUUAUCAACAAUUUUAUUUCUUGUGAUAUUAGGAAUACAACACAGAUGUGUACUUUGUUACCUGUUGGAAAACACUGGGGUGGACUGAGUGUGGGAAUAUAACAAGAUCGACACAUUGUGGCCAUUUCUGUAACAGUCAUUUUUUUUAAAUUAAAUUUACUCACUUUGCAUCCUAACACCAGCCCCCCCCCCUCACUAUCCCCUCAUGGAGAUCCUCUCCCAUUCCUCCCUUCCCUUUUCCUUUGAGAAGGGGAGCCCCCCUCAACAUAAAACCUCCUUAAUAACCUCCUGUAACUGUCAUUUUAUGGACAUACAUUUUCAUUCCUUUUCUGACCCCCAGGGUAAGCACACAACUGCUUUGAAAAGGUCCCUUUCCCAGUUGCAUUUUGGCUGUUACUUCCUCAUAUUAUCCAUCCUCUGACCUUGUGCAUUUCCAAGGGUUUUGGUAUAUUCAGUGUUCUCCAGCCAUCAGAACUAAGUCUACAACAUUCUCAGCACCUGGAGGAACUCUCUACCCUUUUGCUACCACUCCAGCCUGUCCCUAGCAAAAGUAUAACCUGCUUCGUCUCGAAAGAUCUAUUCUGGACAUGUCCUACAUGAAAGAAAAUGCAGUCCUACUGUGUGUGGCCUUUUGUGACAGGCUUCUUCUGCCCUUGGCAUCUUUUCUAAACCAUGCAUGAUCUGUGUGUUCUGUCGGCAUCUCAUUUCUUUCUAUGGCUGAAUGAUCACUGUAUAGAGAUGACACAUUUGUUGAUCCAUUCGACAGAUGGGCAUAUAGUGUUUCUGUGGACAUUCAAGUUCUCUGGAGUACUACUGAAGGGUAAGAUUGCUGGGUCAUGUGGUAUCUCUGCCCCAGCUAUUUCUGAACUCAGGGAGGCUGGUGUGUCCUACCCAAGUCUCCACCCACAGCCAGUGUGCAGCCCCUCCAUCUACCAGAGCACUGCAUCUGCAGGGAGGACUCCCAGAAGCUCAGGCAGCUCACCUG
rnacentral:lncRNA from 1 species